rnacentral:misc_RNA from 1 species
GGUGACUGGCAACGGAAGCU